rnacentral:misc_RNA from 1 species
AAGUCGUAACAAGGUUUCCGUAGGUGAACCUGCGGAAGGAUCAUUAUUAAUACUUGGUUAACACCAGUAAUUCAUGUGCAAACUACCUGACGCUACCAGUACUUGGUGGUGUUUACCCUUGGGUGGUUUAACCUUGGGUGAGCAUCAACAUACCUGGUCGCAGCCCCUCAAUGACCUUUGUUGUUGAGGGCACCCCAGGUCCUCUUGAGCCCUAGGGCAAUGGAAGGCCUGGUCUUUUUAUACUUCAGUCUUGAAAAUCCGCCAUCAGGGAGUAGCCGCAAGGCACUUACUGCUCUGGCAUUAAAAGGGUAAAAAACUUUUAGCAACGGAUCUCUAGGCUCUC